UACGAAGGGUGCAAGCGUUACUCAGAAUUACUGGGCGUAAAGCGUGCGUAGGUGGUUUGUUAAGUCUGCUGUGAAAGCCCCGGGCUCAACCUGGGAAUGGCAGUGGAUACUGGCAAGCUAGAGUGCGGUAGAGGGGUGUGGAAUUCCCGGUGUAGCGGUGAAAUGCGUAGAGAUCGGGAGGAACACCAGUGGCGAAGGCGGCACCCUGGACCAGCACUGACACUGAGGCACGAAAGCGUGGGAAGCAAACAGG
rnacentral:rRNA from 1 species